rnacentral:rRNA from 1 species
GUCGAGAAUCUUUCACAAUGGGGGCAACCCUGAUGGAGCGACGCCGCGUGGAGGAUAAGGUCUUCGGAUUGUAAACUCCUGUCAUGCGUGAACAAGGUUGCUUGGUUAAUACCUGGGCAAAUUGAUGGUAACGCAAGAGGAAGAGACGGCUAACUCUGUGCCAGCAGCCGCGGUAAUACAGAGGUCUCAAGCGUUGUUCGGAAUCACUGGGCGUAAAGGGUGCGUAGGUGGCGUGGUAAGUCAGAUGUGAAAGACCGGGGCUCAACCUCGGAACUGCAUCCGAUACUGCCAUGCUAGAGUACUGGAGAGGUGACUAGAAUUCUCGGUGUAGCAGUGAAAUGCGUAGAUAUCGAGAGGAAUACCAAAGGCGUAGGCAGGUCACUGGACAGUUACUGACACUGAGGCACGAAGGCCAGGGGAGCGAACGGGAUUAGAAACCCCUGUAGUCC